rnacentral:lncRNA from 1 species
AUAUAGUUGUAAAAAAUUUAGUUUGAUAGGAACCUCCUCUUCAUCUAAAUGUUGUGCACUUCAUUUCUUUUACUCUCUGUUUCAAAAAGAAUGACCUAGUUAGCUAGUUUGACUAGGCACGGAGUUUAAGAAAUUAAAGAAGAUUUUUAAUCUUGUAGUCCUAAAUUAAAGUUAUGUCAAAUGUAUAAAAAUAUUUUUUAAUCUUGUGAUCUUAAACAUGUCAUGUGGAAAGGUGAAUCAAAAGUAUUGCCAAAAAAAGGAAAGGGUCAUUCUUUUUUAAAUAGAUUAAAAAGGAAGGUAGGUCAUUCGUUUUUUGAACCGAGGUAGUAGUUACUUACCAUGAGGAUUAACGUAUUGGUGUCAGAAAACUUUCUUUAAUAUACAAAUCCUUAUUGCUUUAAUAUUCUCUUUGAUAAUGGGAAGAAAUUCUCCUACACAAGGUUUAAUCAAAGUUACAUGACACAAAUCCUUGGAUUUCUAUACAUGGUAAAAUGACCAAGGUUGAAGGUCUUCAUAGCUGGGUGAGUUAUGGUUUCUUUGCUGUUUCCUUUCAGCUUCCAACAUGAUGGAAGUUGGUUAGCAGAUUUGAUCCCACAGAGACAAAAAAAUUAGGUGAUUUCUUCUGAUUUGUCCUUGCCUUGGUGGACAGAGUUACCUGAUACUAUUGCUGGUGAGCGGUAGGAGGUAGAAGAUAUCUUGUCGAAUGAGUCAAGGAGCACAAAAUCUGGUUAUCUGGUUAGCAUCCAGCCUAUUAUAUUUGCAAAGCAAUCACCUGCUCAUAUGGCGCCACCCUUGUGCUUCAAAACAGAAAUUACAGUAAUUUUUUUGGACAAGAACUGCAAUAUAGAAACUAUUCAAGAUUGUUUGCUGGUAUAGGUGACUAUUCAAUUCUAUCAAAGAAGAUAGCCACUGUGAUGCCACAAGUAGGGUCUGAAGAGGGCGAGGUGUAUGCAUAUCUUACCCCUACUCUUCUGUGUGGCAGAGAAGUUGUUUCCGAUAAAUAUUCUAUCAGGUAACACUGAACAUGAUUAAAGUGGCAUCAGUCUGUAAGAAUGAUAUUUCAUUCAAUUUCGGAUGUUUGUUCUCGUUAUAUGUUACAUAUUAUAGUGUACAGAUUGUUAUCCGAUAAUGAAAUUAUGCUUUAGUAUAUAUUGAUUUUAAUGCUUCAUGGUUUACAAUUCAUACACCGAAAUUCAUUGCCCAUGGAUAAAUAAAAACCGUUUCAACAUCAAAAACAAUAAAAAGUAAAGCAAACAGAUAGUAACGCAUUCAAAAUAGGGACCAUAUAUCGCCCAUUGAUUCUAUACCUGAUUCAUAAGUAGAAAGAUUUUCUGGUGCUUUGCUAGGGGCUAACACUCACGAAAUGAAAAAUGUCAAAAUAUGAACAAGGAUGGAUAUUAUUAGAAAUGCAAAAAAAGAAAAAAAGUAUUUGUAAAGCAAGGAAGAACUACAUCACAUCACUAAUAAUCUUACCAUUUUUAUUACUGCCAUGUGACCAUGAGGUCACGAGUUCAAGCGUUGGAAAGGUAAGGGUGAGUACAAUGCACACCUGUGGUAGGGCUCUUCCCCUAAUGUUGUGCAUAGCCGGAGUUUUAGUACACUGGGAUGACCUUUUAUCUACAUAAUAUUUAACCAAAUAUUA